CGAGCAACGCCGCGUGAGUGAAGAAGGUUUUCGGAUCGUAAAACUCUGUUGUUAGAGAAGAACAAGGAUGAGAGUAACUGUUCAUCCCUUGACGGUAUCUAACCAGAAAGCCACGGCUAACUACGUGCCAGCAGCCGCGGUAAUACGUAGGUGGCAAGCGUUGUCCGGAUUUAUUGGGCGUAAAGCGAGCGCAGGCGGUUUCUUAAGUCUGAUGUGAAAGCCCCCGGCUCAACCGGGGAGGGUCAUUGGAAACUGGGAGACUUGAGUGCAGAAGAGGAGAGUGGAAUUCCAUGUGUAGCGGUGAAAUGCGUAGAUAUAUGGAGGAACACCAGUGGCGAAGGCGGCUCUCUGGUCUGUAACUGACGCUGAGGCUCGAAAGCGUGUGGAGCAACAUGAUAGAUACCUGUAGUCCAAGCCCGUAACCGAUGAGUGGCUUAAGUGUUGAAAGGGUUUCGCGCCCUCAAGUGUGCUUCACAGCCUAACCGCAUUAAGGACAUCUCCGCCCUGGGGGAGGUAUACGCCCGCGCAAGUUGGAACUCUCAAGAGAAAUUGACCGGGGGGCCGCG
rnacentral:rRNA from 1 species